rnacentral:lncRNA from 1 species
AUUUUGUAAAUUUGAUUUUUUUUAAGAGGAGACCUAACUCUGAUUAUGGAAAAGCCUAACUGAAACAUGAAUUAAAGAACAGGCUAUAAGAGAUUACAGAUAAAUAUUUUUGAAAUGGGAAACAGAUAUCUUGAUUAGUACUUCAAUGGCAUGGUACUUUCCAUGAGUUCAGCAGAAAUAUAUCAAGAGGUUAAAAAUGAUCAGUAAUGAAAAAAAUCAGGGCCAAACCUUGUCUGCUGGUUGAGUAAACGUACAUGUUUUCACCAACUUUUUCUUCAAUUUCUUACAUGAAACCACAGGUCAGCUGCUCAAUCAAUUAGGCCUUAUUCCAGGAUUCUAGAAAUGGUCAGACUAGGAGGUAGGCAAUGAGUGAAAUGAUAAAUUAGCCACAGGUAACAGAUGGACCAGAUGAAAUGGCAUGAACAAGUGAGGAGGGUGAGGAUUCUUCAGAGAUCCUCCCUCAGAGAGACCCAGGAGACUGCCAGUUGUAUUGGCCUGACAAUGAAUAACAAGUGAAAAGUAUAUAUUUGGUUUAAAUGUUGCUUUUCCCAGAAUAAAAUUUAUCAACUAAGUUCAUAAUUUAAAAAAUUUUAAAUGGUGCAGCCACCUUGGAAAACAGUCUGGCAGUUCCUCAAAAGGUUAAACAUAGAAUUACUGUAUGAUUUAGCAAUUGCAUUCUUAGGUAUAUGCCCAAAGAGACGUGAAAGUAUAUUCCCACGCAAAACCUUAUACACAAAUGUUCACAGAAGCAUUGUUUAGAAUAGUCAAAAAGCGAAAGCAACCUAAAAGUCCAUCACCUGAUGAAAAAACGUUAAAAUAUAGUAUAUCUUAAAUGAAAUAAAACCAAAUGAACUAUUGGUGCAGGCUACAGCAUGGCUGAACCUUAAACAUUGUGCUAACUUAAAGAAGCCAGGCACACAAGGUGACAUGAUCCCAUUUACAUGAAAUGUCCACAGCAGGAAAAUCCAGAGAGAGAGAGAAUAGUGGUUUCCUAAGACUAAAGGAAGCAGGAGUUGGGGGAUGAAAGUUAAACGAUAUGGGUUUCUUCUGAGGGUGAUGAAAGUGUUCCAAAAGCGAUUGUAGUGAUGGUUGCACAAUGGAAUUACUAAAAAAGUAUUAAAUUGUAUACUUUAAAUAGGUGUAUUAUAUACGAAAAAUCUCAAUAAAUCUGUUACAAAAAACCAAUUUGGCUAAACAGAGAAAUGUUUCUGUUUUGUUUUUAAGUAAGAAUCAUUUCUUUUGCCUUCUACUUUUCUGCUACUGGUGGCUCUUCAAGGAUGCAAAGAUGAAGCCUUCAGAUCCAUUAGUUUUGAGCCAAAUUUAUCUCAUAGUAGUAGGUGGUAGGAAAAAAAUGUUGUAUAUGCAUAGCUUAUGUCAUAUAUGGUUGGAGAACAGCAUGGACUAAUAUAGAAAAGAUAAAACUUGCAUUCAGAAAAACUGGGGUUGAGACUUGCCC